CGGGAAACCGGAGCUAAUACCGGAUAACAUGUUGAACCGCAUGGUUCAACAGUGAAAGACGGUCUUGCUGUCACUUAUAGAUGGAUCCGCGCCGCAUUAGCUAGUUGGUAAGGUAACGGCUUACCAAGGCAACGAUGCGUAGCCGACCUGAGAGGGUGAUCGGCCACACUGGAACUGAGACACGGUCCAG
rnacentral:rRNA from 1 species